AACGAACGCUGGCGGCGUGCCUAACACAUGCAAGUCGAACGAGAAAUCCGCCUUCGGGUGGAGAGUAAAGUGGCGCACGGGUGAGUAACACGUAGGUGACCUACCUCGAAGUGGGGGAUAACUGCUGGAAACGGUAGCUAAUACCGCAUGUGGUCCGUCAUUCGGUUGGCGGAUUAAAGCUCUGGCGCUUCGGGAUGGGCCUGCGGCCGAUUAGCUAGUUGGUAGGGUAAGGGCCUACCAAGGCGAUGAUCGGUAGCUGGUCUGAGAGGAUGAUCAGCCACACUGGCACUGAGAUACGGGCCAGACUCCUACGGGUGGCAG
rnacentral:rRNA from 1 species